UACGUAGGGUGCGAGCGUUAAUCGGAUUUACUGGGCGUAAAGCAUGCGCAGGCGGCGGUUCAAGUCAGAUGUGAAAUCCCCGAGCUUAACUUGGGAAUUGCGUUUGAAACUAGAUCGCUAGAGUACGGCAGAGGGGGGUAGAAUUCCACGUGUAGCAGUGAAAUGCGUAGAUAUGUGGAGGAACACCGAUGGCGAAGGCAGCCCCCUGGGCCUGUACUGACGCUCAUGCAUGAAAGCGUGGGGAGCAAACAGA
rnacentral:rRNA from 1 species